rnacentral:rRNA from 1 species
CUGCUGCCUUCCGUAGGAGUCUGGUCCGUGUCUCAGUACCAGUGUGGGGGACCUUCCUCUCAGAACCCCUACGCAUCGUCGCCUUGGUGGGCCGUUACCCCGCCAACAAGCUAAUGCGACGCAUGACCAUCCGUAGCCGGAAUCGCUUCCUUUAAACCCACAGAGAUGCCUCCAUGGGUUGUUACGCGGUAUUAGACGGAAUUUCUUCCGCUUAUCCCCCUGCUACGGGCAGGUUUCAUACGUGUUACUCACCCGUGCGCCGGUCGCCCGGG